GAAGGCUGAAAUUCGCCUUCAUGAAGCUGGAAUUGCUAGUAAUGGCAGGUCAGCAUACUGCCGUGAAUACGUUCCCGGGCCUUGUACACACCGCCCGUCACACCAUGAGAGUUGGAAAUACCCGAAGCCUGUGAGCUAACAGUAAUGAGGCAGCAGUCGAAGGUAGAGCCAAUGAUUGGGGUGAAGUCGUAACAAGGUACC
rnacentral:rRNA from 1 species